rnacentral:tRNA from 1 species
GUUGAAGUGGCCGAGGUUAGGCGAUAAAUUGUAAAUUUAUUAACAGGAUUUUCCUCUUCAACA